rnacentral:lncRNA from 1 species
CCCCAGAUAGCAGGUUGACCAAUACAUGUUAAGUAUGUUAAAAUAUAAGUUAAAUACAAUGUAUGUCUACAUGUCCAUACAGUUAUUUUGCUGCACAAAAAGAAUCGAACUCUGAAAUAGUGUACAAUUAACCUGUGAAGGAAAUCAACAAUGCAGGCGGACAAAAAUAGAGGGAUUGGGAAUUCUAUGUAGUGGUUCAUAGUCAUCUCCCAGAGUUCUUUUCCUGGGUGUAGCUGGUUCAGUUCAUUAUUGAACAAAUGGAAGCGAUUUGGUUCAUCUCAUUGUUGAGAAAGCCACGUCCAUCAGAAUUGAUCAUCAGAUAAUCUUGCUGUUACUGUAUACAAUAAUCUGGUUCUGCUCACUUCCCUCAGCCUCAGUUCUCGUAAGUCUUUCCAGGCCUCUCUGUAUUCAUCCUGCUGCUCAUUUCUUACCGAACAAUAAUAUUCCAUAAUAUUCAUAUACCACAAUUUAUUCAGCCAUUCUCCAAUUGAUGGGCAUCCACUCCAGUUUCUGGCUACUACAAAGAGGGCUGCCACAAACAUUCUUGCACAUGUGGGUCCCCUUCCCUUCUUUAGUAUCUCUUCGGGGUAUAAGCCCAGGAGAAAUAUUGCUGGGUCAGAGGGUUUACACAUUUUUACAGCCCUUUGGGCAAAGUUCCAAAUCGUUCUCCAGAAUGGUUGGAUCCGUUCACAGUUCCACCAACAAUGAUGUAUCAGUGUCCCAGCUUUCCCAUACCCCCUCCCACAUUCAUCAUUAUGAAAUUAAGACAAAGGGAACGCCUUCUAAGGGGGAGGCUCUCACUCGCUAGGGUCACCCAGUGUGCCAGAGCCUGGAGGGGCUAUUUCCCAGAAGUCAGUGUCUGGAUCAAAGGUUAGCGGGGGUCAGGGGCCUUGCCCCGCUCUCCUGGUGGUCUUGGGUACAAAGAGUGGCUUGGGCCCUCUUUGCAGACAGGCUGACCCUGCCCAGGAGCAGCUCACCAGGGAGCGCCAGUCUUGGCCCGGCUCUACCGCUCAGCUCCCUCUGGGUGCUCACGGCCUAACUGGCCCGCUCGUCUCUGCGGGUCUCAGUUCCCUCACCAGAAAGCGGAGGAGGUCCGACUGCCAGGAUGGCCUCUGGGCCCAUCCCCGCUGACCUGAAGAUCAAACAGGGUUUAUGGGCACAGCGCUUUCUGUAAUUAAAAGAGCUCCACCGCCUGACUCCAACCUGGUCCUUCUGGUCUCAUGGAUGGAGCCCCUUGGACCUUCAUGACCUCAGCACAGGGCCUCCCUGGGGCUCUCACACACAAGCCUCGUCUCCCGCCUCUGAGCCUUUGCCUGAGCCGUUCCCAGGUCUGGAAUGUCCUCCUCACUUCUCUCUCCCAAAAGCCCUAGUUUCCUUCAAGGAAGUUCCAGCUUCAAGCAGUUCCAGCUCCAUAUGCCCCCCUCCCCAAUCCCACCCUGCACAGAGUCUGCCCCAGGGCUUCCCGAGGGGCCUUUACUCUCAGAGCCCAGCCCAGGGCCUGGCCGGACAGGUGCCCCACCACCACAGGUGCUAUUCCCUGUAUGUCACACCUGAGUGUGUGCACUCCCAACCCCAGACUCCAUCUUCCUUCUUUCCUGAACACCUGGCUUCUUUGGGGUGACAAAACAACACCUCUAAAAAGCACCGGGCUGGAAGCCAAAAGGCUCCGGGUCCUUGGUCUGCCGUGGGAUGGCUGGACCCUGGCUGAACUGCCCCUGAGGGUCUCAGUGACUCCAUCUGUAAAAUGGAGCCCAGCAGCCUUUCCCCUCCCGGCUUAGGUUCUCCAGCAGGAGCUGAGCUAAGACAGACAGAACGAGGCAGUUGGUACUUUCUGCCAGACCAUCCUUAAAGACUGACCCUAGGGGCUGGGGCACCAAAGCCCCCUGUAGUCACGGCUUCCUCUGCUAGCUGAGGGCACCUUCCUUGGGGGCCUCUGCUGGGCUGAGCGGGGCAGGCCCAGGGAUACGUAGGUCCAGUUUGGAGGGGGACCGGUCUGAGGGGUGCGGUCUGACUCAGCGUGCCCACACUUCCCAAGCUGCCAUGGCCUGUGGCUGCCCCUGCCCCUUCCCCAGCCCCCCUUCUCACAAGAUUACCCAUGAACAGCAUGUUUUUCCACACUCUCAGGAUCUCCGUUCCCUCAGCAAGAAGGCUGCAGAGAGUCCGGGGCAGAGGCUGCCCUGUCCGGAAAGGGCUGGAGAGCAGGUUUGAGUUUGCGCCCAGGGACAUGGGGCAAGAUGCACCACAAGCAGCGGGGGAUGGGGAGCACAGGCUGACCUCCCUCCCACGGUCACGUCCCACAGACAGGGCUGGGGAAACUGGAGUCGGGCCGGCUCGGGCCAGAGGGGACUGCGUGUACCUGGCUCAGGGUCCAGCACUAGCCUUCCUCAGGGGGGGCGGCGAUGGCGGACGGCACUGGCAGCUUCCACAGGGAGGGGGCGAGACCCUGGCACCCCCAGCUCUUAGAAGAGCCAGCUUCGGAGCAGGGGCCCAGGCAUCUGGCAGUUACCCAGGAUUCUUGCCCUGCCUCAUACAAACACCCCCUCCUUCCUUCCUCCUGAGCAGAGGCUCUGGCUCCCACUGCCCCAAAGCCUUCUCCUUCCUGUGGGCAGCCCCUGCCUUUCUGUCUCUCCCUUCUCCUUCAAGUCUGACUUCAAAGCUCGGAAGUUGGCGAGGUGUCUGGAGGCUACAGCUCCAGGCCCGACCCUUACUGGCAAGGACGUCCUAAUGUGCACAGGGCCAGGGUUUUUCUCCUGCGCUGCCCCUGGUCCCAGAGCCACUCUCCAGGCUCAGAGAGGGGCAGAAGCGUGCCAGGGGAUGGAUGGUCCCGGAAACCAGAAUCUGUGGGCAGAGGAGCCCACCCUGGGGGGUCUCAGAGAAAGCCCCCCGCUCCUGAGUGGGGACAGGGAAGCCUGCUCCAUCGAUACAGAUGGAGUCCCAGUGACAAAAGGUAAAGUAAGCAGGACACGAGAGAGCUGCUGAGAUGGAGGGUGACAACUCCUUUCAAGGAGGUGACAACUUGGAGAGCAAGCUUGGCGAGAUGUCCCAGAGAUCCAGGGCCACCGCCAGGAAGCCUGAAGCCAUUCCCUGUCUGGGAAUGGAGGGGCAGAGGCUGGAGGCUGGCUCCCACGGCCUCUCCUAGAGGCUGGACACCCGAGGCCCUGCGAUCUGCUCACGUGGGUCUGGGAGCUCCCUCACACAAGGGUCCCGAGAAGCCCCGGGGCCUUGUGGGAUUCUCCUGGAAAUGGCCAGUUUUCAGUUAUUUUGACACUGCCAGUUAGAUUAGAAUGGAGCUAAAAGAAUGCCCGGGAAAGUCACUAGACCCCUGCCAUGCCUUCAAACUGCUGCUUCCCUUGCUGAGCCAAAACCCUAGAAAAAGCUGUUUGGACUUGGUGUCCUCCCUGGCUCCUCAGGGACCUCAGGAUCAACCAGCCUGGCACAGACAGUGGCCUUUGGCCUCCUUGUCCCCGGGACCCCUGGUGUGUUGGACUAUAAGCUCCCUGAGGGCAAGGAUGUGCCAGAUGGAAAUGAAGAAACCCCAGGGGUGACAGAGGAACCACCAUUUCCAGCUCAUCCCAUGAAAACCUGACUUCCCUGGGACUCCUGGCACUCUCCCUCAGGUCAGAAAGGGCGGCUGCCAACCAUGACAGACUUGGUGGUUCUCGGCAGUCCGAUGAUCCAAGGUGAUCGAUCCCACAAAGUCUGGAUGCAAAACGGCAUCCGCAUCCAGAGACUGAAUGUAGAUCAACUCAUUAUUUUCAGUUUUUCUUGCUUUGUUUUUGUUUUGUUUUUCUCUUUGUUCAGAUUUUUCUCUUUCAAAAUAAUUUAUAUGGAAAUAUGUACAUGUGUAACCAAAAAAAAUUUCUGUUUUACAUAUAACUGGGGAAAAUUAAAUUAUAAAAAAGGAAGGAGAAAGAAAGGGGGAUCAUGAGCGGCUGUUUCUCAUCUCUUGGGUCUCCUUGGAUUAUGUGGAAAUGAGCUGGAGUCUUGGCCCACC